CAACCUGCCGACAACACUGGGAUAGCCUUUCGAAAGAAAGAUUAAUACCGGAUGGCAUAGUUUUCCCGCAUGGGAUAAUUAUUAAAGAAUUUCGGUUGUCGAUGGGGAUGCGUUCCAUUAGGCAGUUGGCGGGGUAACGGCCCACCAAACCAACGAUGGAUAGGGGUUCUGAGAGGAAGGUCCCCCACAUUGGAACUGAGACACGGUCCAAACUCCUACGGGAGGCAGCAGUGAGGAAUAUUGGUCAAUGGACGAGAGUCUGAACCAGCCAAGUAGCGUGAAGGAUGACUGCCCUAUGGGUUGUAAACUUCUUUUAUACGGGAAUAAAGUUAGCCACGUGUGGCUUUUUGUAUGUACCGUAUGAAUAAGGAUCGGCUAACUCCGUGCCAGCAGCCGCGGUAAUACGGAGGAUCCGAGCGUUAUCCGGAUUUAUUGGGUUUAAAGGGAGCGUAGGCGGGUUGUUAAGUCAGUUGUGAAAGUUUGCGGCUCAACCGUAAAAUUGCAGUUGAUACUGGCGACCUUGAGUGCAACAGANGUAGGCGGAAUUCGUGGUGUAGCGGUGAAAUGCUUAGAUAUCACGAAGAACUCCGAUUG
rnacentral:rRNA from 1 species